rnacentral:piRNA from 1 species
AUAGUAGACAUUUCAGAGAAGGAG